UAAGCCCCUGGUUGCUCGCCGCCAUCUGCUCCGACUUGGCUCAGUACUGCUCCCAAUCCAAACACAGAAGCGUCUGUAUGGACGAGAAAGCGUUUAGUUGGAUCAGGAGCAGAAAGUACAGGUGAUUUAAUGAGCGCCGUCUUGAGCUGUUGGAAGGCCUGUUCACACUCUGGGGCCCAUACUACUAUCUUGGGGAGGUUUUUACGCGCUCCUAUAUGGCACUUA